rnacentral:rRNA from 1 species
AGGUUAAGUUAAUAAGGGCGCACGGUGGAUGCCUUGGCACUAGAAGCCGAAGAAGGACGUGACAAACGACGAAAUGCUUUGGGGAGCUGUAAGUAAGCGCUGAUCCAGAGAUGUCCGAAUGGGGGAACCCACUAACUAAUGGUUAGUAUCCAUAACUGUUAAGGUUAUGAGAAGGAAGACGCAGUGAACUGAAACAUCUAAGUAGCUGCAGGAAGAGAAAGCAAACGCGAUUGCCUUAGUAGCGGCGAGCGAAACGGCAGGAGGGCAAACCGAAGUGUUUACACUUCGGGGUUGUAGGACUGCGACGUGGGACUUUAAAAGGAUAGAAGAAUUACCUGGGAAGGUAAGCCAAAGAGAGUAAAAGCCUCGUAUUUAAAAUUCUUUUGAGCCCUAGCAGUAUCCUGAGUACGGCGAGACACGUGAAAUCUCGUUGGAAUCUGGGAGGACCAUCUCCCAACCCUAAAUACUCUCUAGUGACCGAUAGUGAACCAGUACCGUGAGGGAAAGGUGAAAAGCACCCCGGGAGGGGAGUGAAAUAGAACCUGAAACCGUGUGCCUACAACAAGUUCGAGCCCGUUAAUGGGUGAGAGCGUGCCUUUUGUAGAAUGAACCGGCGAGUUACGAUAUGAUGCGAGGUUAAGUUGAAGAGACGGAGCCGUAGGGAAACCGAGUCUUAAUAGGGCGAUUUAGUAUCAUGUUGUAGACCCGAAACCAUGUGACCUACCCAUGAGCAGGUUGAAGGUGAGGUAAAACUCACUGGAGGACCGAACCAGGGCACGUUGAAAAGUGCUUGGAUGACUUGUGGGUAGCGGAGAAAUUCCAAACGAACUUGGAGAUAGCUGGUUCUCUCCGAAAUAGCUUUAGGGCUAGCGUCGAUGUUAAGUCUCUUGGAGGUAGAGCACUGUUUGGGUGAGGGGUCCAUCUCGGAUUACCAAUCUCAGAUAAACUCCGAAUGCCAACGAGAUAUCAUCGGCAGUCAGACUGCGAGUGCUAAGAUCCGUAGUCGAAAGGGAAACAGCCCAGACCACCAGCUAAGGUCCCAAAAUAACUGUUAAGUGGAAAAGGAUGUGGGGUUGCACAGACAACUAGGAUGUUAGCUUAGAAGCAGCUAUUCAUUCAAAGAGUGCGUAAUAGCUCACUAGUCGAGUGACCCUGCGCCGAAAAUGUACCGGGGCUAAAACAGUUUACCGAAGCUGUGGAUGACACAAAAGUGUCAUGGUAGGAGAGCGUUCUAUGUGUGAAGAAGGUGUACCGUGAGGAGCGCUGGAACGCAUAGAAGUGAGAAUGCCGGUAUGAGUAGCGAAAGACAGGUGAGAAUCCUGUCCACCGUAAGACUAAGGUUUCCAGGGGAAGGCUCGUCCGCCCUGGGUUAGUCGGGACCUAAGGAGAGACCGAAAGGUGUAUCCGAUGGCCAACAGGUUGAUAUUCCUGUACUAGAGUAUAUAGUGAUGGAGGGACGCAGUAGGCUAACUAAACCGGACGAUUGGAAGAGUCCGGCUAAGCAGUGAGGUGUAAGAUGAGUCAAAUGCUUAUCUUUAUAACAUUGAGCUGUGAUGGGGAGCGAAUUUUAGUAGCGAAGUUAGUGAUGUCACACUGCCAAGAAAAGCUUCUAGCGUUUAAUGAUACUCUACCCGUACCGCAAACCGACACAGGUAGUCGAGGCGAGUAGCCUCAGGUGAUCGAGAGAACUCUCGUUAAGGAACUCGGCAAAAUGACCCCGUAACUUCGGGAGAAGGGGUGCUGACUUAGGUCAGCCGCAGUGAAUAGGCCCAAGCAACUGUUUAUCAAAAACACAGCUCUCUGCUAAAUCGUAAGAUGAUGUAUAGGGGGUGACGCCUGCCCGGUGCUGGAAGG